UUGAACGCUGGCGGCAGGCUUAACACCUGCAAGUCGAGCGGUAGCACAGGGGAGCUUGCUCCCUGGGUGACGAGCGGCGGACGGGUGAGUAAUGUCUGGGAAACUGCCUGAUGGAGGGGGAUAACUACUGGAAACGGUAGCUAAUACCGCAUAACGUCGCAAGACCAAAGAGGGGGACCUUCGGGCCUCUUGCCAUCAGAUGUGCCCAGAUGGGAUUAGCUAGUAGGUGGGGUAAUGGCUCACCUAGGCGACGAUCCCUAGCUGGUCUGAGAGGAUGACCAGCCACACUGGAACUGAGACACGGUCCAGACUCCUACGGGAGGCAGCAGUGGGGAAUAUUGCACAAUGGGCGCAAGCCUGAUGCAGCCAUGCCGCGUGUGUGAAGAAGGCCUUCGGGUUGUAAAGCACUUUCAGCGAGGAGGAAGGUGGUGAGCUUAAUACGUUCAUCAAUUGACGUUACUCGCAGAAGAAGCACCGGCUAACUCCGUG
rnacentral:rRNA from 1 species